GCUGGACACAGUGGCCCAUGUUUGUAAUUCCAGCAGCUUGGGAGGCUGAGACAGGAGAAUUACAAAUUCAAAGCCAGCCUCAGCAAACUUGAGGCACUAAGCAAUUCAGUGAGACCCUGUCUCUA
rnacentral:sRNA from 1 species